GGUCUUGUAGGGGAGCUUGGAGUCCCCGCCACCCCGUCAAGGUGGAGAUCGCGGGUUCAAGUCCCGUCAGGACCG
rnacentral:tRNA from 1 species